UCUGCCGGCGGUCUGCAUCGUAUCUGUACUUUCUCUCCGCCGGCUGUUGUGAGUGGAGACGACGUCUCCCCUCCGUGGCCGGCCACCACCACCCCCCCUCCAAGGCCGGGGCCGAGCCGCCUUGUGCUGCGGCUGCUGGCGGCCGGCGGUGCAGCGGUUCUCGCGAGCUCAGCACCACCGCUCGCCGGUCGGCCGGCCUCCCGUGAUCCCGUCCGUCCAUGGCGGCGGCCACCACCGGGCGCCUCUGUAGCACGACAACGGCGGCAGCGAGGUCCUGCGGCAUCAGGCUCCCCCUCACCUUCCACGUCCUCCUAACCCACCACCACUGGCGCCACCCAAGCUGAGAUGGGAGCUGCUGGUCGCACUUGUACUCCAGGUUGUUGUUUGGUUGUGAUAUUUGCUAAGUCGUGGUGGUCGAGUUAUCCUACUCCAGGUGCAGGUCCCUCAUGGCGCUCCUGUGACGAACCUGUCCCCGAGCACGUGCAAGGCUGUGGCGAACAAUGUGAAGGAUACCCGUGUGGAUGGAUCUCAGGAACUUGGCGGCAGAGUUGGAAGCUGGACUGUCCAGCGAAAGAACACCAUUUCAAGUAGAGGGGUCAGUGUUGACACAAGGCGCGUCAUCUGUUUCAGGUGGUUGUUUGAUUUUCACGGUGUAAGAUUAUUAGGCAGCAGCAGCAGCUUGUUGAAUGAAAAACGGGUGAAGACGUGCUGAAAACCGUAUGUCUGUUACAUAGAAUUUCAGUUUCGGAUUUGAUGGCAUGAAGCAGUUUUGUCCUUCAGAAUUUUGCCAGGUUUGGCAGAAGCUGGGAUCUAUACUCAGAUUUGUGAGCUAUCUAUUUAUGUUAGUGCCCUUAUUUGGUUGAGAAGGCAUUGGACUUUAACUUGUCCAA